rnacentral:snRNA from 1 species
GUCCCUUCGGGGACAUCCGAUAAAAUUGGAACGAUACAGAGAAGAUUAGCAUGGCCCCUGCGCAAGGAUGACACACACAUCAUCUGUUGUGGACGCAGACGUG